AUCCCUGCCUGAUCUUUAAGUGAGGGGACAUAUGGCCUGGGGGCUCUGACUGAAGAAAGGAAUGCAGCACUCAUGAUCCUGUUGAAUAGAGAUGACUUCACAUCUAUCCUUGGAGGUUGGAUUCCUUUAUAGUCACGUAUUUCUGGAUCCACCAACUAGGCCUGUCUGCAGCAGCAAUGGAGGUCACAAGUUGUCCUGUGGUUUCUCACACAGGAUCUCAGAAUGAGCUGAAGAUCAGUGUCCCAAGUGUGACAGGGUAAACUCCCAAGAAGGUCCAUUGAGAGCCUCAAACCAUGUGUCUCCUGGGAAGUGACCUGAGCAGAAGAAAGAGCCCAGAUAAAAGAAGGGGAAGAGAAACACAGAAGAGCUCCUCACAGGACCACAUCAUGGGAGCUGAGCUUCCUCAGAGCCUUGCUGCUUCUAAGAUCGAGGGAAUAUCUUGCCUUCCAGCCCAUGGAGGAAGGCCCAGCAAUGACAGAGCCCUAUGAGAAAAGAGUGCCAGGAAUCCCCUGUGAAGAUUCAAAUCUUCCAUCAACCGUCUCUCUCCCAAAGGCAUCUGAUCCACAGGAAGCCAGGUCUCCCAGAGGAUUGCAUCCUGGCUCCACGGAGCUUUUGAAAUGCAAGUGUCCUGCAUGGCAGCAGUGCCAGGCGACAGCCUGUGGAAGUUGUGGAUGCACCUCACCCUGACACCAGUGAAUGCCAGAUAUGGGGAAAGUUUGGACUGAAUAGUAGUUGCUGCACCCCCCGACGCUGCCACUGUAGAUAUUCAUAAGCUUCGUGGCCAUCCUGUUAGCUUUUACAUCAUUCCAUACAUCAAUUUCCUUUAUGUCUGCUUCUAGUUAUCUGCCCAAUUAGCUCCUAGCUGGUUGAGCUUUCUAUAAUGAACAUUAUAAAACAAGUCAGACAGAGACUGCCAGGUGCGUUUCCCCCUUUCCAGAGGAGAGGACAGAAUGUGUCUUAUCCACAUACCUUUGUAUCUAGUGAGACUAUCACCUACGAUGGAGGACCUUGCUUUUUGUUCAUGAAACCUCAUUGACCCUCUGC